rnacentral:rRNA from 1 species
GACGAACGCUGGCGGCGUGCUUAACACAUGCAAGUCGAACGAUGAAGCCGGAGCUUGCUCUGGUGAAUUAGUGGCGAACGGGUGAGUAACACGUGAGUAACCUGCCCUUGACUCUGGGAUAACUGCUAGAAAUGGUAGCUAAUACCGGAUACGACCCUCGGAGGCAUCUCCAGGGGGUGGAAAGAAUUUCGGUCAAGGAUGGACUCGCGGCCUAUCAGCUAGUUGGUGAGGUAACGGCUCUCCAAGGCGACGACGGGUAGCCGGCCUGAGAGGGUGACCGGCCACACGGGGACAGAGACACGCCCCAGACUCCUACGGGAGGCAGCAGUGGGGAAUAUUGCUCAAUGUGCGCAAGCCUGAUGCAGCAACGCCGCGUGAGGGAUGACGGCCUUCGGGUUGUAAACCUCUUUUAGUAGGGAAGAAGCGAAAGUGACGGUACCUGCAGAAAAAGCACCGGCUAACUACGUGCCAGCCGCCGCCGUAA